rnacentral:rRNA from 2 species
UCACCACGGUGUGGUUCAUGACUGGGGUGAAGUCGUAACAAGGUAGCCGUAGGGGAACCUGCGGCUGGAUCACCUCCUUA